CAACAUCGGUCCAAUCCUUAAAGUCAUCCUCAGUUCGGACUGGGGUCUGCAACCCGACCCCACGAAGCUGGAUUCGCUAGUAAUCGCGCAUCAGCCAUGGCGCGGUGAAUACGUUCCCGGGCCUUGUACACACCGCCCGUCAAGCCAUGAAAGCCGGGGGCGCCUGAAGUCCGUGACCGCGAGGGUCGGCCUAGGGUGAAACCGGUGAUUGGGGCUAAGUCGUAACAAGGUAAC
rnacentral:rRNA from 1 species